rnacentral:rRNA from 1 species
GGACUACCAGGGUAUCUAAUCCUGUUCGCUCCCCACGCUUUCGCUCCUCAGCGUCAGAACAGGCCCAGAGAACCGCCUUCGCCACCGGUGUUCCUCCCGAUAUCUGCGCAUUUCACCGCUACACCGGGAAUUCCAUUCUCCCCUGCCUGCCUCCAGCCAGCCCGUAUCCACCGCACGCCCGGGGUUAAGUCCCGGGAUUUCACGGCAGACGCAACUGGCCGCCUACGAGCUCUUUACGCCCAAUAAUUCCGGACAACGCUUGCGCCCUACGUAUUACCGCGGCUGCUGGCAC